rnacentral:rRNA from 1 species
AUUGAACGCUGGCGGCAUGCUUUACACAUGCAAGUCGAACGGUAACAGGCCUUCGGGUGCUGACGAGUGACGAACGGGUGAGUAAUGCAUCGGAACGUGCCCAGAGGUGGGGGAUAACGCAGCGAAAGCUGUGCUAAUACCGCAUGUGAUCUGAGGAUGAAAGCGGGGGACCAAGCAGCAAUGUUUGGCCUCGCGCCUCUGGAGCGGCCGAUGUCAGAUUAGGUAGUUGGUGGGGUAAAGGCCUACCAAGCCGACGAUCUGUAGCUGGUCUGAGAGGACGACCAGCCACACUGGGACUGAGACACGGCCCAGACUCCUACGGGAGGCAGCAGUGGGGAAUUUUGGACAAUGGGCGCAAGCCUGAUCCAGCAAUGCCGCGUGCGGGAAGAAGGCCUUCGGGUUGUAAACCGCUUUUGUACGGAACGAAAAGGCUCUGGCUAAUACCUGGGGCUGAUGACGGUACCGUAAGAAUAAGCACCGGCUAACUACGUG